rnacentral:tRNA from 1 species
CAAAUUUAAACUAAAAGUUAGUAAUUUAUUUACAAUAAAUAAUAAUUGUGCGAUUCAAUAUAAUUUGA